UACGAGGGGGGCGAGCGUUGUUCGGAAUUAUUGGGCGUAAAGGGUGCGUAGGCGGUUUGGUAAGUCUGAUGUGAAAUCUAUGGGCUCAACUCAUAGUCUGCAUCGGAAACUGCCGGGCUUGAGUGUGGGAGAGGUGAGUGGAACUCCUGGUGUAGCGGUGAAAUGCGUAGAUAUCAGGAGGAACACCUGUGGCGAAAGCGGCUCACUGGACCAUAACUGACGCUGAUGCACGAAAGCUAGGGGAGCAAACAGG
rnacentral:rRNA from 1 species